GACGAACGCUGGCGGCGUGCUUAACACAUGCAAGUCGAACGGAAAGGCCCUGCUUUUGUGGGGUGCUCGAGUGGCGAGCGGGUGAGUAACACGUGAGUAACCUGCCCUUGACUUUGGGAUAACUUCAGGAAACUGGGGCUAAUACCGGAUAGGAGCUCCUGCUGCAUGGUGGGGGUUGGAAAGUUUCGGCGGUUGGGGAUGGACUCGCGGCUUAUCAGCUUGUUGGUGGGGUAGUGGCUUACCAAGGCUUUGACGGGUAGCCGGCCUGAGAGGGUGACCGGCCACAUUGGGACUGAGAUACGGCCCAGACUCCUACGGGAGGCAGCAGUGGGGAAUAUUGCACAAUGGGCGGAAGCCUGAGGCAGCAACGCCGCGUGCGGGAUGACGGCCUUCGGGUUGUAAACCGCUUUCGCCUGUGACGAAGCGUGAGUGACGGUAAUGGGUAAAGAAGCACCGGCUAACUACGUG
rnacentral:rRNA from 1 species